AACUGCGCUCGUGUGCGUUAAAUUGGCAGAUUUCUAAACGGGGUUUGGCGCAGAUCGAUGGGGUUUCAUCCAGACCCAGACAGGCAGUGGAGGGUUUUAACCAUCAGGGCGUCGUUGCAGACGCCUGACCCGGAGGUGGAGCAGGUUUGUCCAGUGUGUGUGUGUGUGUGCAAGUCUUUCAUCCUUGGGAUGUGUUUUACUGGUGCAUCCCACAAAUGCAGCCACAGGUAGUAGUUCAUGCGUUUCCAUUUAAUUCACAGAUCUGUGUCCCUUUAAUUGCUUUAAGACUGCACGUUUCUCAUUCAGGCUGAUUUAAUUAGAAUAUAAUCGUUAUAAGAGCCACUCCGACAGCUACAAUCCUUGGAGAGGAGGCGCUUUUCUGCCAGCUGACACCCACAUACACAACUGUGAACCGUGUCUCUGUGAUGUAUUGUCCUGCUAUCAGUUGGCUCAUUAGUCCACCAACGUGCUCUACACCCCACAACGCGCAUGGAGACGUUCCUUACGACUCCUUCGAGACCGGAGGCAGAGCGCUUGUCCUCGGCUCCUGUGCUCGUGGGGAGAGUUGGAGGAGUCUUGGCUGAGCGUCUUUCACACCUGGGAGCUGCUCGGUGUAAACAGAUUACUGCUGAGCAGCUCUGUUGUUGCGGGAUGUGCUGCCUUGCCCAAGGGCACCUCUGUUGCAACUGCUGUGGUAGACUUAAACAUCAGUCACUCGUUUUCCUCAAGCUUAUUUAGCAGUGAAACGUUGGGAGAUGGGAGGAACAUGAACUAAAAAAUAACUGUAAUAUAAUUUGUAUUAUUAUUGUGUUACAACUAUUUGAUUAUUUCUUACUUUACAACAUGGACAGACAGAAAAUUAGAUCUUGCUUAAGGACAUGUUAAUGCUAAUUUGAAGGCCAAUAAUUUAAAGCUCUGAACUGAGAAUUGAAAAAAUUUGCAUUUAGGAACUUGGGAUUCAGGGAACUUUAAAACAGGCCCUUUUGGGUGUACAACAAUUAGUUGGAAUAUAAUGUGUAUGUCUUGUUGCAGUUGCCUCUGAAGGACUCGCAUUAACAGAUUCCUGCGUCUCCUAUGUGACUGUGUGACUGCUCCUCUCAGUUUCCACAGACACGCAGAGCUUGAUGAAAAGCGACGGCACCUGAAUAUCAGAGGAAAUUGAGUUGUUCAGCCAGGUACGACCGUAGCAGAGUUGGGUUAUUGAAAUCACUGUGGAUGGCUCUUAAAGGUCACUUUGCUCCUGUGUGUUUACAUGACAGAGCGUGUGUUUCCAGCGGUUAUUGUAUCGCGCAGGGCUCAGCAUCACUUUCAUAGAGGACGACUUCCUCCUCUCCGAGCUUUUGUUGGUGUUGUUUAAUCUUCAGCAGAAGGACGGGGGGGUGUUCCCCUCUGCUCCUGACACUGUUCCCCCUGGAGAACAGUGCACAUUUGACUUCCUUAGAUUCAUGACAUGAAAGCGGAGAUUGCUUUUCCUGGAAUCUAAUUCCACUUUCUUGGCGCCUUACAGCUGGAAUGUGCUUGUUUUGUAAAUGGUCUGUUUGCAUUCAGUUGGAUAGAUGGAAAUAUGUUUUUCUUACUAUUUUUAUACCAUGUUUAAAUUAUUUAUGUCCCCUUCGAUUCAGAAAAAAGCCACUGAAAAUCUUGCAGUUCCUCUAUUUCAUUAUUUCUUAGUGGGUACAACCUGCUGUCGUACUGGCACAGAUAAUUGGAUAUUUCUGACCUGAAGUAGCAGAUGGAAUGUAAUCAUUACUGGAGUUGCUUGUGUUUGCUGUCAGCCAGGUCAACUCAGGUUUGUUAUUGUGAUAUUAAAGAUUUUUAUGGUCGUGCCAUCACGGUGGGUCACGUUUUACUGGCAUGUUGGCAUGCUGACAUGCUGCUUUGUCUGCUUUUCCAGCUGAUGUCUACUUUGCCCUGCCCCACAAAAAAAAAUGUUUCCAGCAUGUUGUUUGUUUAAUUAAACAAGAAAGACUUUUAUUUUGCUGCUGACAAACAGAUGCUACAGGAAUUCAUCCCUAAUUUUAUGGCUCAAACAGACAAGCACGCAGAGGAAACACCACAAAUCACAGCGACGAGCCGAGACGCAGCCAUUGUUUGUCCAUUGAGUAGGAACAAAGCAGGAGGAGUGAAUGUUGUUGAAUGGGCGCUGACUGAUGGUCGUCACCUUCCGCUCGCUUCAUCGGUUAUUACGACGAGGUGCGAGGCCGGCCUUACUCAUCCGCGUCUGUUGUCACGGCAACUGGUGGAAUCCAUUUCCCCAUCUCUCUCUCUCUCUCUCUCUCUCUCUCUCGCUCUCUCGUUCUCUUUCUCUCACCAUGCCCUGAUAAUAGAUGGGCCUUAAACUUAUUUAAAUGAACAUAAGAGCAGGAAGCACCAGAGGGAAUCUGCGAUCUGUAAAUGACUGAGAUGUUUCACGUAUAGGUACAUAGGUUUAUCUGCCUGCUCCUGUCACUCUCUGUGCUCUUGGUUUAGGGAUUGAGUGGGCUAAGCUGACGGUGAAUAGACACACCAGCAGUGAUGUCGGGUGUUUGAGUAACAUGGUGUGGAUUAACCCUGCACACAAAUGCUGUGCCCAUCAAAGAGAUCCUGUGUUAGGAAUAACACACGCGCACACACACACACACACACACACACGCACACACAUACUCUCACUGCUUCCCCCUAGUCAUGUCACAUAAAGCUGAUUCAUUGUGAUUAUCGCACACUAUGAGCUGAUGUAUUCGGAUUUGAGGUUUAGUUCGAAAUUUGAUUUCAGCCAUUGGAUUGAUUUGGGUGUUGCUUCUCGUUUUUCACACCUUUUGGUCUCUGAACACCUCACAAAUGUCAGAAAAUAAAAACAGUACAAACUACAAGUGGUCAAGGCUUCUAAAAUAAUAAAACCAGUAUUUUUAAAAUGUCCUUUUAGGAACUUAGAAAAAAAACAUCUUGGCUUUUCUGCUUAAAAAUACCUGAAAUGUUUCGAUCAUUAAACUGUCAGAAUACUCUUUUGCCGUUUUAAUAGCGUCUUUGUGAACAGUUGGAGCAGUGGGUGCAGACUUGCCCAUCCCAGCGCAUAGUGAUGCUUGUUUUUAGCCGUAAACACACACUUUGAGCUGUUUCUAACAUGCUGUGUUGUGACUGAACUGUCGAGUGGCAUGAAAAAGUAAUCAGCCUUAAUGACGGUGCGUCACUGACUUAAAAGCACUUUAUCUUUAAGGAAACACAUGCGUUGCUGCCAGCCUCUAGGUGCCACUCAAUUUCUGCAUUAAGUUAAAAUAUUAAAGGUAUGAAGCCUUUACUACUGCAGCAGCUUUGGCACACUGGGUUUCCAUCGGUUCGACAGCAGCACCUCUGCAUCCUCCAAAGCCAGGAAACAGUACAGUAGAUCCUGUUCUCAUCGUCUGUUGGAUGCUGUACUUAAAGAAGCACAUAAAGAGCUUGUCUCCAGGACUGCAGGCUCGCUCUCUCGCUUUACAUCAGGUGUCGGGUGUUCGCUGAGGAAUCUCCGUCAUGUACACGGAUAAAAGAGACAUUAUGAGUUCAGCUUUGCUUUGGGUUUUGUUUAAAUGUUCGCAUGAAGCUGUGAAAUUCCCCACGGAUGUAUUCAUCAGUUUGGUAGAAAAGUGUGGGUUGAACUCGGCUCCGGCUGACUCAGAGGUUGUUGUAGAAAUGCCACAUCAAUACAUGGAGAUAGAGAUGUUCUCUCUGAGGCCACAGGAUCCUCUCUGACCUUGUUUGAAUGCUCCAAUUUAUUUAUUUUUUUUAAGCCAUAUUCCAGACGGUCCACCUGUGGAGUCCGACCUCUCUCCUUCCCCUCGCUUUAUUUCUCUCUGCCACUUGCUAUCGCCGUCACUUCCUCCUCUUUGCCCUUUAAAUCUCUCCUCUUGCCUUUUUCUCAAGAGCUGCCUGUACCCUGACCCUGCUGCUUUUGUUCAGGCCUGUCGGGUUACUCGGAAAGCAGAGAUUAAAAUCUCAGAUUAUAAGAAGAGAGAUCAGGAGGGAUUACGGCGUUUUGUCUUGCGAACACGCUCUGAACAGUUGGUAUGAUUCCGACGGGGGCUGGGUUGUCUUUCACUGCCCAAAUAGUAAAUCGGUUGCCAGCUCUUUAUCGACUCUUAACUCCAUGUCCAUCCACAACUCUUUCUCGCUGUAGUGUGAUUUAUUGAUUUACUCUCCUGCCUCGUGUCUCUGUGGUGUAGCUGUGUAUUAGACUAAAUCAUCCACGUCAUCUGUGAUUGCAGGUUUAUGUCAUUUCUGGACCUAAACGAGUCAUUUAAAUGCGGGAAAUGAAAUAUCCAUAUCAGAAUCAGUGCAGUCAUUAAUUUAGUGGCAUUAGUUUAAUUUACCAAGAUGAGGCCAGAUUAUUUAAGGCUUGGCAGCUGUACACUGUGUUUAACGCUGUGCAUCAUCCGGCCUGAGCUCGAACCAAUCAUGUGUACUGUUCAGCUUCAAGUUGCUUUCAAGUGCGUAGCUGGUGUUGCGAAAAGCUGUUGUCGCCUCUUGUGCAUCUCAUUCCGUUGGAGAGGGGAGUGGAAACAACCUGUGCGUCAGGGAUCUCUAGAGAUGGUGCAGCGGGGGAAUUUUUGGAAGUGCAAAAAAGCAGGUGGAGCUGGUCGUCGGCUGCGUGGACGGGGGCUGGAGUCUGGUGUCGUCCGCCCCUCCGCUCCAGGCCGAACCUGGGCUGAUGGAUGGACCCGCUGAACGGUGCCCGGAGGAUGAAUGCUAAUGAGGCUGCUGAUGAACUGACUAGUGACACCGGCAGGUCUAACUGUUGACUUAGGCGCCGAACUAUUACAUCAUCAACUUGAUGGAUUGGUAAAUAAGUCAGUCUGACACUUGGGCAAUUUUCCAAUUUGUCCCAACCCUUAUAUUGAUGUUUGUUGUCAAAUACCAGUGAUGAGAAUAAUAAGAGGAAAAAGUGUUGAGAACAGAGUUCUUUAGUUUAUCGUUCCCCAUAGUGUUUGUUUGGUCAAAUGCUUUCCAGCCAUCUGCAGCAUUCUGAUGUAAGCGUGGAGCUUAAAGCAGCGCUGCCUUCAGAGCUUCUAGUUUUCCUGUGCAGCCUCACUUCAGUUUACUCACAUGUACGAGAACAGCCUGGUAUUGUGUGACUAGAUCAUUAUCCUCUCACAAUCUAGCCAUCGCCUCUCUGGGAACAUCUCAGAAUGGUUAGUUUAUAUUUAGCUGGAAAAGUGAAUAAAGGAGAGCGGAGUAUCUGAGUGGGCGUCCGAGUCAGUCUGUCAUGCCCCCCUCCCCCAGACUUCCAUCUGUGGGCUGUUAAUGAGGCUCUGGGGUGUUUUCCAGGGCCGUGUCACUUCAACACUGUCACACUCUCAUGCGACUUAGGCUGAGAAACUACAGAGCUCUCCCUCAAAUCCGAUUGCCUCUCACAUCUUAUCUCAGGACGUAGAAGUUGCAUCUAAAGUGUCGAGUGCGAACUUAAAACUCGGUGUAACUCCUGGUGGCUGCUGACAUUUAAGCUUCGCUCACUUCACUCACCAGCUCCAUUCUCAGGAUUCCACGCAGGUUAACCCACCUGCGAAAGCUCCGGAGGCCGUCAUAUCAGCUGUGAUCCAGCUGAUUUGACCUGACGUUCUCUUUAAGGCGUUGCUGUCGCUUCGUCACACAUUCCCACAAAUAACCUGGACGUGUCCUGUUCUGCCCGGCGCAGGCUCAGUAUCAGGGCGUGUGCAGCCCACAGCAGGUCCAGGCUUGGAUACAGUAAUCAGGCAUACACUGUUGACUUGCAUUCAGCCCCUCCUUAGGCCGGGCCUCGGAGCAGGUGUGAGCGUCACUGCAGAGAGAGAGAGAGAGAGAGAGACACACACACACACACACACACACACACACACACACAGAGGGAUUUUUUGAGUCUCCGCGUUGGUCUGCGGCGUCUCCAGGUGUUCUAUUGUGCAGCAGAGUGUUUAUUCGUUCAUCAAUGUAAAUUUACUGUCGCCCACUGGCAGAAAUGUUGAGCAUUUCCCCUGAAAUGCAUGAAGAGGAUUUACAGCAUCAGCACUGACUCAGACGUGUGUUGUUUUUCAGAUCUUCUGUAGGAGUGAAACUGAACAAGCGGUGAUUUAAUUUUUUUUGUCUUUAGUAAUUAUGAAAGUAAGAUGAAGUAGAUCCGGUUUUAGCCAUAUGCCAGACAGGAAAAUCAUCAUGUGUCUUGUUUUUUAGCAGGGCCGGUUUUGUUGCUGUUGUUUUCCAUCUGCUCUCUGCCUGUUUUGCUUUCCAUUCAAUCUCUGGUUGAGUCUCUGUUCCUGUCGGCCUCGUCCUCCCCACAAGAGCCUCCUCUCUCUGUCUGGUCACGCUUGAUUGCCAGUCAGGUUGGGUGGGGGGGUUCCAGGGCUCUCCAGUCCAACCUAAAUGAACCAAGUGUCUCUUGUCACUUGAAAAAGAUUAUUUUUAGGCCAUCACUAAAUUGAAACUUCUGUGAACUGAAUGAGAAGUAGGAGCAGAAUAUCCUGCUCCCAAAGCAAAGCUUUCAUUUCCAUCCUCUUAUUCAUCCAUUUUUCCUAUUUUCCAUAUUUAAAUGAGCUGUAACUAUGCCAUUUACUGAACGUACUGUGUUGCACAUUAACUAUCGCGGCCGUGUGGUUAAAACAGAAACUACAGGAUUCACUGUAACAUUAACCACGUAAACCAGCAGCAGGGAACAGUCUGUGCUGAAACGUGUUCGGUGAAACUCUCAUUAGAGCCGUCAACGCGUCUGCUGAUGUAUUGGCCUGUUGGAGCUGUAAGACCUGAAUCUCAGGGAAUUUAAUGAGAUGGAUCGAAAUAAAAAAAUGUCUUUAAUGUGGUAGUGAGUUUUUUUUUCUUUCAGAAAACCAUUUCUCUCAAAAACGAUCACAGUCAAGACAACAUUCUCCUUCUGAAGGUCUCGGGUCCCCGAGUACUUCACAAAUACCGAGCUGCAGCUCUGCCUGUGCAGGCAGUUAGGCCUAAAUUCUCCAUUUAGUGUCAGGGCCAUUAUGUGCUUUUGUUGUCCCCUGUUGAUCGUAUUCUCUCUGUACAAGUACGUUGUGUUCCUUCUUGAAACAUUGUAAAUGCUGUUUGGUUUUCUCCUGGACCUGAGGCUUUAAACAGAGUUUGGGAUUAUUUCAAAUUAGCAUUAACCGUCCCAGAUUCCCGUCGUCUUUGCUGGCGCUCUCAGCGUCUCCUCCGCUAAAUCGCUUGAUCUGGAUUGUUCCAAUCCCAUUAUUUGGUUCCCAGCACUCAAACACACACCGGGUUCCAUCAGCCCGUGUUCUGCUUCAGGCAGCAUGUGGCUCCAUGCUGAGCUGGAGCUGACACAUACAUGACUAAUGCACUAUUAUCACUUACUCUCAGCAUUUUGAGCUCCCGUUUGGAACCACAAAGACCAGUUCAAAUCAAAACUUCCCCAUAUUGUGCUUUUUAUUCAAUAUUUUCUCUCUGAUUCAAAUAAAAAACUAAAUGCAUAUUUAUUUGAUUACUUGAUGAAUUAUUUGUUUGUAUCUUAAGAGGAGGCUCGUAAUUAUGUUUUAUUGGCACAUUGAUAAACCAGCUGUGAUAAACAGCCGUGACUUUCUGUGAGGCUGAAACAUGACAUGAACUACAGUUAGCAGAGCAGGAACAGCCUCAGGCUGAUAGAUUGAUGGUGCGGAUCUAUUAGUUCUUUCAUCAGCAGCAGAAUCAUCUCAUUGGCUUUGACUCAAUCGCUGAACUUCACUUAUGUGUUUUGGCAUUUAAUGAAACACAGCUGAUUGGAUUUCUGAUUUGUCUUUACCCCAUGCUGGUGUUGAUGGUAAGUCAGGAAUGAAUGAAUAUACCGACUCCGCUGGAGGCAGGAAAAGACCAGGUGUGUUUGUGUAGACUAGACUUGUGAGGCCAGUGCUGUUUUUACAUACGGGUCUGUCCAUGAGAAAGUUGAAAGCCAAUGCAAAUCACAUAGCAGCGUGUCGGCCUCCUCUUACAGCCGGUUUCCUCUUUCCUUUGUAGCAGGUUUGGACUGUGCCGUGCUGAAUUUGAGCCCAGGACGCUGCAGAUGGUCCGUAAAUGUGAAUUAAACAUCUAAGUCGGCACAGUGUUCUGCUUUUGUUGUUUCUAGUGCGUCUGCUGUGGAAAAUCAAAUUUAGAGCGGUGGUGCUGCAAGUUUCCCAGCCAGCAGCAGUGUCCUGUAAACACACCCGCUGGCUCCGUUCAUACAUUUUUUAUUUUUUAGUGCGGUUUCAGACAUGUGAAUAUUUGCUGUGUUUCCCAGUGGACGCGUAGCUGCCGUGUUUUGGCUGUGUGUCCACCCAUGUGUGAAAUCCUCUAAAAGGCCACAGUGCACGUCCGGGUCACGGAUCGGAUCCGUGCUCUGUGUCACAGGCGUGUUAUUAAUUCCCCACUCUCUCCCAGAGCCCCUGUCCACUACGUGUGCAGACUGCAGAG